rnacentral:rRNA from 1 species
GACGAACGCUGGCGGCGUGCUUAACACAUGCAAGUCGAAUGGAAAGGCCCUGCUUUUGUGGGGUGCUCGAGUGGCGAACGGGUGAGUAACACGUGAGUAACCUGCCCUUGACUUUGGGAUAACUUCAGGAAACUGGGGCUAAUACCGGAUAGGAGCUCCUGCUGCAUGGUGGGGGUUGGAAAGUUUCGGGGGUUGGGGAUGGACUCGCGGGUUAUCAGCUUGUUGGUGGGGUAGUGGCUUACCAAGGAUUUGACGGGUAGCGGGCCUGAGAGGGUGACAGGGAACAUAGGGAAUGAGAAACGGGCCAGAGGGAAAAGGGAGGAAGGAGUGGGGAAAAUAGAAAAAAGGGCGGAAGGAUGAAGGAGAAACGGAGGGUGCGGGAAGACGGCCAUCGGGUAGUAAAACGAGUUAGCGUGUGACGAAGCGUGAGUGAGGGAAAUGGGUAAAGAAGCACCGGCAAACUAGGU